rnacentral:rRNA from 2 species
CCUCGGAUCAGGUAGGGAUACCCGCUGAACUUAAGCA